rnacentral:rRNA from 1 species
CCUACGGGGCGCAGCAGUGAGGAAUAUUGGUCAAUGGGCGAGAGCCUGAACCAGCCAAGUCGCGUGAAGGAUGACGGCCCUACGGGUUGUAAACUUCUUUUGUCAGGGAGCAAUUGGGUCCACGCGUGGGCUUAGCGAGAGUACCUGAAGAAAAAGCAUCGGCUAACUCCGUGCCAGCAGCCGCGGUAAUACGGAGGAUGCGAGCGUUAUCCGGAUUUAUUGGGUUUAAAGGGUGCGUAGGCGGAAUAUCAAGUCAGCGGUAAAAAUUCGGGGCUCAACCCCGUCGUGCCGUUGAAACUGAUGUUCUGGAGUGGGCGAGAAGUAUGCGGAAGGCGUGGUGUAGCGGUGAAAUGCAUAGAUAUCACGCAGAACUCCGAUUGCGAAGGCAGCAUACCGGCGCCCAACUGACGCUGAAGCACGAAAGCGUGGGUAUCGAACAGGAUUAGAUACCCCUGUAGUC